UAUAAACACUUGUAUUAUUAGUAAAAAAAUUAAUGUGGGACAAAAACAUAGAAGCAACAAAAACAUCACAUGGAAGCAGAACAUUACAGCUAGGAAGCAAUUCUUUGGUAAAAUGGGUACAAUUCAUAUCUGACAUUAUAGCUAGGAAGCAAAACUCUCCCUCCUUGUUUUCUAUCGCAGCACUGUGGGAGAUAUCCAAUGGCAUCACUAAGACACGAUCUGCAAUCUUAUGGAGAUAAAUCAUAUGUACCUUAGUUUUUUUGUCAGGGUGGGAAUGUUUGUUCCUGCUAUCAAAGGACGAACUGAAGAACAGCAGAAAAAGUGGCUGUAUUUGGCACUAAAGAUGCAAAUAAUUGGUUGCUAUGUCCAAACUGAACUUGGCCACGGAUCUAAUGUUCAAAGGCUAGAAACGACAGUAACAUUUGAUCCCAAAACAGAUGAGUUUUCAUAGCCCCACAUUGACUUCUAACAAAGUGAGUACAAUGGGAGAUGGCUUAUGAGAGCCUUUAUAAUCAGAGGGUAACAAAAUAAAUUUACAAGAAAACUGUUUAUAUUAAGUUUUCUCGUUAAGCUGAAAUCAGAAUUAAGACAAAACAGUAAUCUAAAGUUUGUGAUAUAAUAUUCGAUUUUAGAUGCUUUGAUUUCAGCAUCCAACAUUUUAAACUAGUAAAUUAUGUUCAUUCUAUUUGA